CGCGUAGGCGGUUAUUUAAGUCGGAUGUGAAAGCCCUGGGCUUCAACCUGGGAACUGCACUCGAUACUGGGUAACUAGAGUACGAGAGAGGGAGGUAGAAUUCCACGUGUAGCGGUGAAAUGCGUAGAUAUGUGGAGGAAUACCGGUGGCGAAGGCGGCCUCCUGGCUCGAUACUGACGCUGAGGUGCGAAAGCGUGGGGAGCAAACA
rnacentral:rRNA from 1 species